ensembl:lncRNA
CUGUGUGGACCAUGCCAUUGCCAGGAACAAUGUUGACAACUGCAGGCCUCCCUGGCAUCGUGACCCACCAGCAAACUCCACAGACGCCCUUCCUCAGUUCAUCACAGUGGAAACCCCUCCAGACAGGUGUAUCCCACUCACCCAGCCUUCACCUGUCUGUUCACAGGGGCUCUGUCUCAACAGCGGAUCCUGUCAGCCCAUCUCUCUGCCCAGCGGAGCCUCGUCUUUCUUCUGUGACUGUCCUCUGCACUUCAGGGAACGCCUGUGUGAACAAGCCCGGGAGCAGAAUUUCGGAGACCGUUUCCUCCAUGUUUUUCUCCAAAAUGGAAGACCAGUGGCCAGGUUUUGAGUGCUGCCCCACAGAAUAUCAGGAACAAUAGUUUGGUGCUAAUUUUCAUGAGAAGAUCCAUUGGGGAGCAAGUGAUGUAAUGCCAAUCUGUUCUGAUGAAGAAACAAACUCAUCAACAUCUUGGAUGGCCUGAGAGUGAGUCAAUUUUGAGCACAUUUUUUGAUUUUUUGAUGGAAAAUCAAAAUUUAAUCAUAUGAAAUUAACAUCUUCGUCUUUUGGUUGAUGCUAAGCAUAACAUCCUGCUAUCUUCACCUCCAUAUACAGUAUGCACCCUGUCCCUGACCCCCAAGCACUGACAUGAGGGUCUAAUCUCCUCCUCCUGCCAGACAGUGAGAAUAAACCUGGCUUUGUCGAUAUCA